AACGAACGCUGGCGGCAUGCCUAACACAUGCAAGUCGAACGAGACCUUCGGGUCUAGUGGCGCACGGGUGCGUAACGCGUGGGAAUCUGCCCUUGGGUUCGGAACAACAGUUGGAAACGACUGCUAAUACCGGAUGAUGACUUCGGUCCAAAGAUUUAUCGCCCAGGGAUGAGCCCGCGUAGGAUUAGCUUGUUGGUGAGGUAAAAGCUCACCAAGGCGACGAUCCUUAGCUGGUCUGCGAGGAUGAUCAGCCACACUGGGACUGAGACACGGCCCAGACUCCUACGGGAGGCAGCAGUGGGGAAUAUUGGACAAUGGGCGAAAGCCUGAUCCAGCAAUGCCGCGUGAGUGAUGAAGGCCUUAGGGUUGUAAAGCUCUUUUACCCGGGAUGAUAAUGACAGUACCGGGAGAAUAAGCCCCGGCUAACUCCGUGCCAGCAGCCGCGGUAACAC
rnacentral:rRNA from 1 species